rnacentral:ncRNA from 1 species
GCAGCCGCCGGACGGGGCGGGCCGCGAGGGUUGGGGAGCCCGAUGACCGGUUCGCCGCCGAGAUGGGACCGGGUUUUAGGGAGCCCGGCCCGAUCGCUCUGGCGAAGAAG